rnacentral:rRNA from 1 species
UCGGGAAUUUUGGGCAAUGGGCGAAAGCCUGACCCAGCAACGCCGCGUGAAGGAUGAAGUAUUUCGGUAUGUAAACUUCGAAAGAAUAGGAAGAAUAAAUGACGGUACUAUUUAUAAGGUCCGGCUAACUACGUGCCAGCAGCCGCGGUAAUACGUAGGGACCAAGCGUUGUUCGGAUUUACUGGGCGUAAAGGGCGCGUAGGCGGCAAUUCAAGUCAUCUGUGAAAUCUCCGGGCUUAACUCGGAACGGUCAGAUGAUACUGCUUUGCUAGAGUGCAGAAGGGGCAAUCGGAAUUCUUGGUGUAGCGGUGAAAUGCGUAGAUAUCAAGAGGAACACCUGAGGUGAAGACGGGUUGCUGGGCUGAUACUGACGCUGAGGCGCGAAAGCUAGGGUAGCAAACGGGAUUAGAUACCCACGUAGUCCCUGAGCGGGCUGGCAAGGCGCAU